GCAGUCGUGGCCGAGUGGUUAAGGCGAUGGACAAGAAAUCCAUUGGGGUCUCCACGCACAGGUUUGAAUCCUGUCGACUGCG
rnacentral:tRNA from 1 species